rnacentral:rRNA from 1 species
CCUACGGGUGGCAGCAGUGAGGAAUAUUGGUCAAUGGUCGGGAGACUGAACCAGCCAAGCCGCGUGAGGGAUGAAGGUACAGAGUAUCGUAAACCUCUUUUGUCAGGGAACAAAGGCGGGGACGUGUCCCCGGAUGAGUGUACCUGAAGAAAAAGCAUCGGCUAACUCCGUGCCAGCAGCCGCGGUAAUACGGAGGAUGCGAGCGUUAUUCGGAUUUAUUGGGUUUAAAGGGUGCGCAGGCGGUCUGUUAAGUCAGCGGUCAAAGCCCGGGGCUCAACCCCGGCCCGCCGUUGAAACUGGCAGUCUCGAGUUGGAGAGGUAAGCGGAAUUCCUAGUGUAGCGGUGAAAUGCGUAGAUAUUAGGAGGAACACCAGUGGCGAAGGCGGCUUACUGGACUGUAACUGACGUUGAGGCUCGAAAGCGUGGGGAGCAAACAGGAUUAGAUACCCUGGUAGUC